rnacentral:rRNA from 1 species
AUUGAACGCUGGCGGCAGGCCUAACACAUGCAAGUCGAACGAGUGGCGGACGGGUGAGUAAUGUCUGGGAAACUGCCCGAUGGAGGGGGAUAACUACUGGAAACGGUAGCUAAUACCGCAUACUAUCGGAUGAACCCAUAUGGGAUUAGCUAGUAGGUGGGGUAAAGGCUCACCUAGGCGACGAUCUCUAGCUGGUCUGAGAGGAUGAUCAGCCACACUGGGACUGAGACACGGCCCAAACUCCUACGGGAGGCAGCAGUGGGGAAUAUUGCACAAUGGGGGAAACCCUGAUGCAGCAACGCCGCGUGCGGGAGGACGGCCUUCGGGUUGUAAACCGCUUUCAGCCAUGACGCGGUAGUGGCAGAAGAAGCACCGGCUAACUACGUGCCAGCAGCCGCGGUAAUAC